AGUGAACGCUGGCGGUAGGCCUAACACAUGCAAGUCGAACGGCAGCACAGGAGAGCUUGCUCUCUGGGUGGCGAGUGGCGGACGGGUGAGGAAUACAUCGGAAUCUACUUUUUCGUGGGGGAUAACGUAGGGAAACUUACGCUAAUACCGCAUACGACCUACGGGUGAAAGCAGGGGACCUUCGGGCCUUGCGCGAUUGAAUGAGCCGAUGUCGGAUUAGCUAGUUGGCGGGGUAAAGGCCCACCAAGGCGACGAUCCGUAGCUGGUCUGAGAGGAUGAUCAGCCACACUGGAACUGAGACACGGUCCAGACUCCUACGGGAGGCAGCAGUGGGGAAUAUUGGACAAUGGGCGCAAGCCUGAUCCAGCCAUACCGCGUGGGUGAAGAAGGCCUUCGGGUUGCAAAGCCCUUUUGUUGGGAAAGAAAUCCAGCUGGCUAAUACCCGGUUGGGAUGACGGUACCCAAAGAAUAAGCACCGGCUGACUUCGUGCCAGCCGCCGCGGUAA
rnacentral:rRNA from 1 species